GGCACUAUAGCUUAGCGGUUAGAGCAUCAAAGAGAAGGUUGCUGGUUUGAUUCCAGCUAGUGUCA
rnacentral:tRNA from 1 species